GACGAACGCUGGCGGCGUGCCUAAUACAUGCAAGUCGAGCGAACCAAUAGGAGCUUGCUCCUGUGGUUAGCGGCGGACGGGUGAGUAACACGUGGGCAACCUGCCUGUAAGACUGGGAUAACACCGGGAAACCGGUGCUAAUACCGGAUAAUCCAUUUCCUCUCAUGAGGAAAUGCUGAAAGUCGGUUUCGGCUGACACUUACAGAUGGGCCCGCGGCGCAUUAGCUAGUUGGUGAGGUAACGGCUCACCAA
rnacentral:rRNA from 1 species